rnacentral:rRNA from 1 species
GGGUUGUGAGGUUAAGCGACUAAGCGUACACGGUGGAUGCCCUGGCAGUCAGAGGCGAUGAAGGACGUGCUAAUCUGCGAAAAGCGUCGGUAAGGUGAUAUGAACCGUUAUAACCGGCGAUGUCCGAAUGGGGAAACCCAGUGCAAUUCGUUGCACUAUCGUUAACUGAAUACAUAGGUUAACGAGGCGAACCGGGGGAACUGAAACAUCUAAGUACCCCGAGGAAAAGAAAUCAACCGAGAUUCCCCCAGUAGCGGCGAGCGAACGGGGAGCAGCCCAGAGUCUGAAUCAGCUUGUGUGUUAGUGGAACGGUCUGGAAAGUCCGACGGUACAGGGUGAUAGUCCCGUACACCAAAAUGCACAGGUUGUGAACUCGAAGAGUAGGGCGGGACACGUGGUAUCCUGUCUGAAUAUGGGGGGACCAUCCUCCAAGGCUAAAUACUCCUGACUGACCGAUAGUGAACCAGUACCGUGAGGGAAAGGCGAAAAGAACCCCGGCGAGGGGAGUGAAAAAGAACCUGAAACCGUGUACGUACAAGCAGUGGGAGCACCUUCGGGUGUGACUGCGUACCUUUUGUAUAAUGGGUCAGCGACUUAUAUUCUGUAGCAAGGUUAACCGUAUAGGGGAGCCGCAGGGAAACCGAGUCUUAACUGGGCGUUAAGUUGCAGGGUAUAGACCCGAAACCCGGUGAUCUAGCCAUGGGCAGGUUGAAGGUUGGGUAACACUAACUGGAGGACCGAACCGACUAAUGUUGAAAAAUUAGCGGAUGACUUGUGGCUGGGGGUGAAAGGCCAAUCAAACCGGGAGAUAGCUGGUUCUCCCCGAAAGCUAUUUAGGUAGCGCCUCGUGAACUCAUCUUCGGGGGUAGAGCACUGUUUCGGCUAGGGGGUCAUCCCGACUUACCAACCCGAUGCAAACUACGAAUACCGAAGAAUGUUAUCACGGGAGACACACGGCGGGUGCUAACGUCCGUCGUGAAGAGGGAAACAACCCAGACCGCCAGCUAAGGUCCCAAAGUCAUGGUUAAGUGGGAAACGAUGUGGGAAGGCACAGACAGCCAGGAUGUUGGCUUAGAAGCAGCCAUCAUUUAAAGAAAGCGUAAUAGCUCACUGGUCGAGUCGGCCUGCGCGGAAGAUGUAACGGGGCUAAACCAUGCACCGAAGCUGCGGCAGCGACACGAUGUGUUGUUGGGUAGGGGAGCGUUCUGUAAGCCUGCGAAGGUGACCUGUGAGGGUUGCUGGAGGUAUCAGAAGUGCGAAUGCUGACAUAAGUAACGAUAAAGCGGGUGAAAAGCCCGCUCGCCGGAAGACCAAGGGUUCCUGUCCAACGUUAAUCGGGGCAGGGUGAGUCGACCCCUAAGGCGAGGCCGAAAGGCGUAGUCGAUGGGAAACAGGUUAAUAUUCCUGUACUUGGUGUUACUGCGAAGGGGGGACGGAGAAGGCUAUGUUAGCCGGGCGACGGUUGUCCCGGUUUAAGCAUGUAGGCUGGUUAUCCAGGCAAAUCCGGAUAAUCAAGGCUGAGGUGUGAUGACGAGGCACUACGGUGCUGAAGUAACAAAUGCCCUGCUUCCAGGAAAAGCCUCUAAGCAUCAGGUAACAUCAAAUCGUACCCCAAACCGACACAGGUGGUCAGGUAGAGAAUACCAAGGCGCUUGAGAGAACUCGGGUGAAGGAACUAGGCAAAAUGGUGCCGUAACUUCGGGAGAAGGCACGCUGGUGUGUAGGUGAAGUCCCUGCGGAUGGAGCUGAGACCAGUCGAAGAUACCAGCUGGCUGCAACUGUUUAUUAAAAACACAGCACUGUGCAAACACGAAAGUGGACGUAUACGGUGUGACGCCUGCCCGGUGCCGGAAGGUUAAUUGAUGGGGUUAUCCGUAAGGAGAAGCUCUUGAUCGAAGCCCCGGUAAACGGCGGCCGUAACUAUAACGGUCCUAAGGUAGCGAAAUUCCUUGUCGGGUAAGUUCCGACCUGCACGAAUGGCGUAAUGAUGGCCAGGCUGUCUCCACCCGAGACUCAGUGAAAUUGAACUCGCUGUGAAGAUGCAGUGUACCCGCGGCAAGACGGAAAGACCCCGUGAACCUUUACUAUAGCUUGACACUGAACAUUGAGCCUUGAUGUGUAGGAUAGGUGGGAGGCUUUGAAGCGUGGACGCCAGUCUGCGUGGAGCCAACCUUGAAAUACCACCCUUUAAUGUUUGAUGUUCUAACGUUGGCCCCUUACCGGGGUUGCGGACAGUGUCUGGUGGGUAGUUUGACUGGGGCGGUCUCCUCCCAAAGCGUAACGGAGGAGCACGAAGGUUAGCUAAUCCUGGUCGGACAUCAGGAGGUUAGUGCAAUGGCAUAAGCUAGCUUGACUGCGAGCGUGACGGCGCGAGCAGGUGCGAAAGCAGGUCAUAGUGAUCCGGUGGUUCUGAAUGGAAGGGCCAUCGCUCAACGGAUAAAAGGUACUCCGGGGAUAACAGGCUGAUACCGCCCAAGAGUUCAUAUCGACGGCGGUGUUUGGCACCUCGAUGUCGGCUCAUCACAUCCUGGGGCUGAAGUAGGUCCCAAGGGUAUGGCUGUUCGCCAUUUAAAGUGGUACGCGAGCUGGGUUUAGAACGUCGUGAGACAGUUCGGUCCCUAUCUGCCGUGGGCGCUGGAGAAUUGAGGGGGGCUGCUCCUAGUACGAGAGGACCGGAGUGGACGCAUCACUGGUGUUCGGGUUGUCAUGCCAAUGGCACUGCCCGGUAGCUAAAUGCGGAAGAGAUAAGUGCUGAAAGCAUCUAAGCACGAAACUUGCCCCGAGAUGAGUUCUCCCUGAGACUUUAAGUCUCCUGAAGGAACGUUAAAGACGAUGACGUUGAUAGGCCGGGUGUGUAAGCGCAGCGAUGCGUUGAGCUAACCGGUACUAAUGAACCGUGAGGCUUAACCUUACAACGCCGAAG